rnacentral:snRNA from 2 species
AUGCUCAGGCCUCUCCUCAUUAUGACGACUUAAUCUUUCGCCUUUUACUAAAGAUUACCGUGGGGAGAGAGUUUUAGAAUAGGGGCCCCUAGGCCAAUUUUUGGAAGGCCUUUACCGUUUGGUAGAGG